UUUAUGACACGAUUAUCUUGUUGAUAUCUAAAAACAAUUUGUGAUUUAUAAUCUCCAAUAUGUUUCAUAUUAUCGCAUAAAUAUAAAUAAAUUCAAGGCGUUAGCAAAAUACGUCACGGGUCGACAAAUACAAUUUGCCACCAUUUUCAUCAUUGUUUAAUACAAUACAGUAAUUAGACAUUUAAGGGUCGAGAUAAAUGAAAAAGCACACAGG